UACGAAGGGGGCUAGCGUUGCUCGGAAUCACUGGGCGUAAAGGGCGCGUAGGCGGGUCGGUAAGUCAGGGGUGAAAUCCCACGGCCCAACCGUGGAAGUGCCUCUGAUACUGCCGGCCUCGAGGGGGAUAGGGGCGUGCGGAACUCAGGGUGGAGCGGUGAAAUGCGUAGAUAUCCUGAGGAACACCGGUGGCGAAAGCGGCGCGCUGGAUCCCUUCUGACGCUGAGGCGCGAAAGCCAGGGGAGCAAACGGG
rnacentral:rRNA from 1 species